rnacentral:rRNA from 1 species
UGGUAGCAAUAUCGAACCUAGAGUGACGUACGGGUGCGUAACACGUAUGCAACCUACCCUUUACAGGAGGAUAGCUCGGGGAAACUCGAAUUAACCCUCCAUAAGAUCAUAGAAUGGCAUCAUUUAGUGAUUAAAACUCAGGUGGUAAAGGAUGGGCAUGCGUCUGAUUAGUUAUUUGGCGGGGUAAAGGCCCACCAAGACGAUGAUCAUUACGGGACCUGAGAGGGUGAUCCCCCACACUGGCACUGAGAUACGGGCCAGACUCCUACGGGAGGCAGCAGUAGGGAAUAUUGGUCAAUGGAUGCAAGUCUGAACCAGCCAUGCCGCGUGCAGGAAGAAGGCCUUCUGGGUUGUAAACUGCUUUUACCAGGGGAUAAAAAUCUCAUGCGUGAGAUAUUGAAGGUACCUGGUGAAUAAGCCACGGCUAACUACGUGCCAGCAGCCGCGGUAAUACGUAUGUGGCAAGCGUAGUCCGGAUUUAUUGGGUUUAAAGGGUGCGUAGGCGGCCCUGUAAGUCAGUGGUGAAAUACUCUAGCUUAACUAGAGGGGUGCCAUUGAUACUGCAGGGCUUGAUUACAGAUGAGGUAGGCGGAAUUGACGGUGUAGCGGUGAAAUGCAUAGAUAUCGUCAAGAUCUCCGAUAGCGAACGCAGCUUACUAAGCUGUAACUGACGCUGAGCACGAAAGUGUGGGGAUCAAACAC